rnacentral:rRNA from 1 species
AGAGUUUGAUCCUGGCUCAGAAUCAACGCUGGCGGCGUGCCUCAGACAUGCAAGUCGAACGCGAAAGGCCCCUUCGGGGGCCGAGUAGAGUGGCGUCCGGGUGAGUAACACGUAGGUAAUCUACCUCUGGGUGGGGAAUAACGACCGGAAACGGUCGCUAAUACCGCAUAAUGCAGCGGCACCACAUGGUGACAGUUGUUAAAGCGGGGGAUCGCAAGACCUCGCGCCUAGAGAGGAGCCUGCGGCGGAUUAGCUAGUUGGCAGGGUAACGGCCUACCAAGGCAACGAUCCGUAGCCGGCCUGAGAGGGCGGUCGGCCACACUGGCACUGACACACGGGCCAGACUCCUACGGGAGGCAGCAGUCGGGAAUUUUGGGCAAUGGGCGAAAGCCUGACCCAGCAACGCCGCGUGAAGGAUGAAGCUUUUCGGAGUGUAAACUUCAUAAGAAUGGGACGAAUAAGGAAGGGCUAAUACCCCUUCUGAUGACGGUACCAUUUGUAAGCUCCGGCUAACUCCGUGCCAGCAGCCGCGGUAAUACGGGGGGAGCAAGCGUUGUUCGGAUUUACUGGGCGUAAAGGGCGCGUAGGCGGCGCAACAAGUCACUUGUGAAAUCUCCGGGCUUAACCCGGAGCGGCCAAGUGAUACUGUCGUGCUAGAGUGCGGAAGGGGCUACUGGAAUUCUCGGUGUAGCGGUGAAAUGCGUAGAUAUCGAGAGGAACACCUGCGGCGAAGGCGGGUAGCUGGGCCGACACUGACGCUGAGGCGCGAAAGCCAGGGGAGCGAACGGGAUUAGAUACCCCGGUAGUCCUGGCCUUAAACGAUGGAUGCUUGGUGUCCGGGGUUACAUAGUCCCCGGGUGCCGGCGCUAACGCAUUAAGCAUCCCGCCUGGGGAGUACGGUCGCAAGACUGAAACUCAAAGGAAUUGACGGGACCCGCACAAGCGGUGGAGCAUGUGGUUUAAUUCGACGCAACGCGAAGAACCUUACCUGGGCUAGAAUGCUCCUGACAGCCCC